rnacentral:rRNA from 1 species
GACGUAGGGCGCGAGCGUUGUCCGGAUUUAUUGGGCGUAAAGAGCUCGUAGGCGGCUUGUCGCGUCGACCGUGAAAACUCGCAGCUCAACUGCGAGCCUGCGGUCGAUACGGGCAGGCUAGAGUUCGGUAGGGGAGACUGGAAUUCCUGGUGUAGCGGUGAAAUGCGUAGAUAUCGGGAGGAACACCAGUGGCGAAGGCGGGCACCUGGGCCGACACUGACGCUGAGGCGCGAAAGCUAGGGGAGCAAACAGG